rnacentral:rRNA from 1 species
UGGGGAAUUUUGCACAAUGGGGGAAACCCUGAUGCAGCGACGCCUCGUGAUUUAGAAGGCCUUCGGGUUGUAAAAAUCUUUUCUAUGGGAAGAAAAUGACAGUACCAUAGGAAUAAGGACCGGCUAAUUACGUGCCAGCAGCCGCGGUAAUACGUAAGGUCCGAGCGUUGUCCGGAAUCAUUGGGCGUAAAGGGUACGUAGGCGGGUAAGCAAGUUAGAAGUGAAAUCCUAUAGCUCAACUAUAGUAAGCUUUUAAAACUGCUCAUCUUGAGGUAUGGAAGGGAAAGUGGAAUUCCUAGUGUAGCGGUGAAAUGCGCAGAUAUUAGGAGGAAUACCGGUGGCGAAGGCGACUUUCUGGCCAUAACCUGACGCUGAGGUACGAAAGCGUGGGUAGCAAACAGG